CAGUAACUCCACCGCCUUGGUCCCUUCUUCUUUCUUCUUCUCGCCGUUAUUCCAGAGAAGUGAAAUGUGUUUUCUAAGCAGAUCUAAUAUGGUGAUAGAGGUUGAUAAUAUUAUGGGCUCAAGUAGGGUUGAUGAAGAUGCUGAACCCGUUUUACUGUAUGGACACAGUGGAAGCCUGUUGUUUGUGUAAGUUGGGUUCGACCUGAUCUAUGUGUUGAAGCAGAUGAGUCACUGCCAAAGGGUUAAUAUGUUCUUCCAUUCUCAUGCACUAUUUGUUUCAGAUUUAUGGUAAUUGCAUUGAUAAAUGAUGAAACUGAUGAGGCAUCAGCCAUCAUAAAGGGGAAUUUGGUGCCACAUGUGAGGGUCACAUCCUCAACAAAAAUCAUGACAAUUCAAAUAUACUACCACCAGAAAUUCUCCAAACAGAGAGACAAAUCAAACUGCUGGAACUCGAAAUAGGCACUGCACAAAAUGUGAUUGUCAAGGGAAUCCAUGAAGAUAUACACGCACUCACUCCAACACAGAGAAUUCAGCCCUCAAGCUCAACACCCGACAACAUCCAGCCCUCAAGCUCAACACCCGACGAAGUUGGAACAACAACAAAAAAAGGAACAUUCAAUCAUCUGGCAAGCAACUUUCGAAAACUAUAUCCAAGCAAAAAUCUGAAAACGGGCGACAUCUCUACAGAUUCACUUGAAGACUCAUCCGAAGACUUAAUGUAAAUAGUUACCAGCCUAGACAUGUUUUGGCCAAGCCUAACCAUUUUUUGCAAAAUGUACAUAAACAACUACUUGGUUGGCAUAUGUAUUUUUGGAAAUCUGGCUAAGAUACCAGAUUUGGAAUCUGGCAAAGGCACCAGAUUUUUGGGACAACUAAACAUUAUACACUCAUUUUGGUAUGUAAUAUAUUUAUAACGUAGUUUCAUGUAAAUUUAACCAUAUAAAUAGUAUACCCGAAGCACCGCGCGGGC